GAUGAACGCUGGCGGCGUGCCUAAUACAUGCAAGUCGAGCGAACAGACGAGGAGCUUGCUCCUCUGACGUUAGCGGCGGACGGGUGAGUAACACGUGGAUAACCUACCUAUAAGACUGGGAUAACUUCGGGAAACCGGAGCUAAUACCGGAUAAUAUAUUGAACCGCAUGGUUCAAUAGUGAAAGACGGUUUUGCUGUCACUUAUAGAUGGAUCCGCGCCGCAUUAGCUAGUUGGUAAGGUAACGGCUUACCAAGGCGACGAUGCGUAGCCGACCUGAGAGGGUGAUCACCCACACUGGAACUGAGACACGGUCCAGACUCCUACGGGAGGCAGCAGUAGGGAAUCUUCCGCAAUGGGCGAAAGCCUGACGGAGCAACGCCGCGUGAGUGAUGAAGGUCUUCGGAUCGUAAAACUCUGUUAUUAGGGAAGAACAAAUGUGUAAGUAACUAUGCACGUCUUGACGGUACCUAAUCAGAAAGCCACGGCUAACUACGUG
rnacentral:rRNA from 1 species